GAACUGAAGAGUUUGAUCAUGGCUCAGAUUGAACGCUGGCGGCAGGCCUAACACAUGCAAGUCGAGCGGAUGANUAGUGGGGGACAACGUUUCGAAAGGAACGCUAAUACCGCAUACGUCCUACGGGAGAAAGCAGGGGACCUUCGGGCCUUGCGCUAUCAGAUGAGCCUAGGUCGGAUUAGCUAGUUGGUGAGGUAAUGGCUCACCAAGGCGACGAUCCGUAACUGGUCUGAGAGGAUGAUCAGUCACACUGGAACUGAGACACGGUCCAGACUCCUACGGGAGGCAGCAGUGGGGAAUAUUGGACAAUGGGCGAAAGCCUGAUCCAGCCAUGCCGCGUGUGUGAAGAAGGUCUUCGGAUUGUAAAGCACUUUAAGUUGGGAGGAAGGG
rnacentral:rRNA from 1 species